rnacentral:misc_RNA from 1 species
UGUGGUAGUUGUCAAAGCUUGAUUUUUUAAACUGUUUGAAGUAUUUUGAAAUCGAUUCAUUUUAAGGUGUUAAAAUAUAGUUAAAAUUAAAGAAAAAAUAUAAAUUAGUGGUUUGUUUAUUGGUGAAUGUUAAGCUAUUAAAAUGACUUCAGAUUCGGACGCUAAUUUAGUAGAGGAGCGACGUUCUGUCUCGCCAAAGGACGACGUUACCAAAGAAAGAAGUAAGAAACGUGAAAAUCGGUCUGAAAAGGGUAAAAAACGUAGUAGCAGGUCUCGUUCAUCAUCUCGAGAGAGACGUAGAAAGGACAGGAAGAGACGAAAAGCAGAUAAUUCGGACGAAGCUGUAAUUUUGCCCAGAUAUUAUGGAGAUGACCGAAGAAAGGAAAACAACGAUAGGUACUGGACAAAGUAUCCAAAAAAAGACGAAAACGUGGUUGGAAAAAGGUAUUAUGACACCAAAAGCAUUGACGAGGAUAAAGUCAAAGGAAAAGAGCCCCAAAAAGAUGCUCCUGAAGACAAAUCCAUUAUCAAACCUCGGGAAAAGAAAACUGUUGACCUCCUUACAUCUAAGACCGGUGGAGCUUACAUACCCCCCGCGAAACUACGCAUGAUGCAAGCUGAAAUUACAGAUAAAUCUUCAGCAGCCUUCCAGAGAAUAGCCUGGGAAGCAUUAAAGAAAUCCAUACACGGUUACAUCAACAAAGUAAAUACCUCCAAUAUCGGUAUUAUAGCCAGAGAAUUACUACACGAAAACAUUAUUCGUGGUAGAGGGCUGCUUUGUAAAUCUAUAAUUCAAGCCCAAGCUGCCUCACCUACUUUUACCAACGUCUAUGCUGCUUUAGUCGCCGUUAUCAACUCAAAGUUUCCAAAUAUCGGGGAAUUGUUAUUGAAGAGAUUGGUCCUACAGUUUAAACGAGGGUUUAAACAGAACAAUAAGACUAUAUGUAUUUCAGCAGCUACCUUUGUAGCACAUUUAGUUAAUCAGUCUGUUGCGCAUGAAAUUCUGGCUCUGGAAAUUCUAACUUUGUUAAUAGAAACACCGACAGAUGAUUCUGUCGAGGUGGCUAUAGCUUUCUUGAAGGAGUGUGGACAAAAACUAACAGAAGUGUCUAGCAGAGGUAUCAAUGCAAUUUUUGAAAUGUUAAGAAACAUUCUUCAUGAGGGACAGCUUGAAAAAAGAAUACAAUAUAUGAUUGAAGUAAUGUUUCAAAUCAGAAAAGAUGGAUUUAAAGACCAUGCUGCCGUAAUUGAAGAACUAGAUGUGGUGGAAGAAGAUGAUCAGUUUACGCAUCUGAUAAAGCUUGAUGACGUCAAACAAGCCGAUUCAGACGAAAUUUUAAAUGUCUUUAAGUUUGACGAUGACUACCAAUUAAAUGAGGGAAAAUACAAGAUUCUGAGUAAAGAAAUCUUACAAACGGACAGUGAAUCUGGCUCAGGAUCAGAAGAGGGAGGAUCGGAUGAUGAAGAGGAUGAUAGUGAUGACGAAGAAGAGGAAGGCGAAGAAGCCAAAGCCAAAGACACCAUUAUUGAUAAUACGGAAACGAAUUUGAUUGUGCUCAGGAGAACAAUAUACUUGACUAUACAGUCUAGUUUGGACUUUGAGGAGUGUGCUCACAAGUUGCUCAAGAUGGAGUUGAAGCCUGGCCAAGAGAUUGAACUGUGUCAUAUGUUCUUGGAUUGCUGUGCUGAACAAAGAACCUACGAAAAAUUCUACGGACUUCUCGCUCAGCGAUUCUGUCAAAUCAACAAAACUUACGUGGAACCGUUUCAACAAAUAUUCAAAGAUACUUAUGCAACCACCCACAGAUUGGACGCGAAUAGGUUGAGAAACGUGAGCAAAUUCUUUGCUCAUUUAUUAUUCACCGAUGCCAUCGGUUGGGAGGUCUUGGAAAUAAUGAAGAUGAACGAGGAAGACACUAAUAGUUCCAGUAGAAUUUUUAUCAAAAUUCUCUUUCAAGAAUUGGCAGAGUAUAUGGGACUGGGAAAACUGAACGCCAGACUAAAGGACCCGACUCUCCAAGGCCAUUUUGCUGGACUCUUUCCCAGAGAUAACCCGAAAAAUACUCGGUUUUCUAUCAAUUUUUUCACGUCCAUUGGUCUGGGUGGUCUCACUGAUGAACUUAGGGAACACUUGAAGAACAUCCCGAAAAAUCUGCCUGUUGUAACAAAAGAAGAGAGUGAAGAAAGCAGCAGUAGCAGUUCGUCCAGUUCAGAAUCUUCUGAUCAAGAUAGUAGCUCAGAAAGUUCAAGCGAUUCGGAAGAAGAUAGAAGAAGAAGAAAGAAAAAAGAUAAAAAACAAAGCAAUAAAAAAGAAUCUAAAAAAAGUACGAAAAACGACAGUAAGUCUAAAGAUGAAAAAAGGAAAGAUAAUAAAAACAGAAAAGAAAGAAACAAAGAAGAGUCGGAAGACAGUGAUAGUAACAAGAAACAUGAAAGAAAUGCCAGAAAAAAAGAUUACCAAUGGAUGAAGAGUCGCUAUGAAGACAAUAUCUCACAAUUGAAGAACAAGAGAAGAGAUUUUGAGAGGCCCAGAUCUAGAGAUAGGAAUAGAGUAAAGGUGGAAAAGGAGAGAAGAUCGAGGUCGCGUGAGAGGUACCACAGAGCGGAUAAUAACGAUCACAGAGAGAGAACGAAAAGAGACAGGAGAAGAAGUUAGGUUAAGUUUAUAUUAUUUUGUAUAGCAUAGAAAUAUAACAUUUAUUUUAUUUCAUCUUUUUUCAGGUGUAACAGAUUUUUAUAAUUAAUUAUAUAAAAAUAAUGUAACAGAGUUUACAUUCUAAAAAGUGGGUAAAAUAGAAAUAUUAUUUUGAGAAUAAAAAUUUUUAGUUGGAAAUUUUAUAUGA